AGAGUUUGAUCAUGGCUCAGGAUGAACGCUAGCUACAGGCUUAACACAUGCAAGUCGAGGGGAAACGAUAUUGGAAGCUUGCUUCCGAUAGGCGUCGACCGGCGCACGGGUGAGUAACGCGUAUCCAACCUGCCCACCACUUGGGGAUAACCUUGCGAAAGUAAGACUAAUACCCAAUGAUAUCUCUAGAAGACAUCUGAAAGAGAUUAAAGAUUUAUCGGUGAUGGAUGGGGAUGCGUCUGAUUAGCUUGUUGGCGGGGUAACGGCCCACCAAGGCAACGAUCAGUAGGGGUUCUGAGAGGAAGGUCCCCCACAUUGGAACUGAGACACGGUCCAAACUCCUACGGGAGGCAGCAGUGAGGAAUAUUGGUCAAUGGACGAGAGUCUGAACCAGCCAAGUAGCGUGCAGGAAGACGGCCCUAUGGGUUGUAAACUGCUUUUAUAAGGGAAUAAAGUGAGAGUCGUGACUCUUUUUGCAUGUACCUUAUGAAUAAGGACCGGCUAAUUCCGUGCCAGCAGCCGCGGUAAUACGGAAGGUCCGGGCGUUAUCCGGAUUUAUUGGGUUUAAAGGGAGCGUAGGCCGGAGAUUAAGCGUGUUGUGAAAUGUAGACGCUCAACGUCUGCACUGCAGCGCGAACUGGUUUCCUUGAGUACGCACAAAGUGGGCGGAAUUCGUGGUGUAGCGGUGAAAUGCUUAGAUAUCACGAAGAACUCCGAUUGCGAAGGCAGCUCACUGGAGCGCAACUGACGCUGAAGCUCGAAAGUGCGGGUAUCGAACAGGAUUAGAUACCCUGGUAGUCCGCACGGUAAACGAUGGAUGCCCGCUGUUGGUCUGAAUAGGUCAGCGGCCAAGCGAAAGCAUUAAGCAUCCCACCUGGGGAGUACGCCGGCAACGGUGAAACUCAAAGGAAUUGACGGGGGCCCGCACAAGCGGAGGAACAUGUGGUUUAAUUCGAUGAUACGCGAGGAACCUUACCCGGGCUUGAAUUGCAGAGGAAGGAUUUGGAGACAAUGACGCCCUUCGGGGCCUCUGUGAAGGUGCUGCGUGGUUGUCGUCAGCUCGUGCCGUGAGGUGUCGGCUUAAGUGCCAUAACGAGCGCAACCCCUCUCCUUAGUUGCCAUCAGGUUAAGCUGGGCACUCUGGGGACACUGCCACCGUAAGGUGUGAGGAAGGUGGGGAUGACGUCAAAUCAGCACGGCCCUUACGUCCGGGGCUACACACGUG
rnacentral:rRNA from 1 species